CAAACAUCUAAUGCUGGCAAAAGACAGCAAUGGCGGCUCGUGGAGCCUCUCAAUAGUUCCCGGAAGUAGCGGCAAACCGAUGCCGCGCCGUAGAAGAUGCAGCAGAACAAACCGUUUGCAACGCACUUUUAACAGACCCUGGUAUCUGGCUGAUGGUUCACUGGAAUGCUGACUGGCUGCUGACUGACUUGCUGCUGGUUGACUGGGCAGUGUCACCUGUCCCUGUCUCUCCUCUCUAGCCAUGUCCUUUUUCUUCACUCUCACUUUCCCUUCUCUGAGUGUCCUCGUUCUUUUUUCCUCAACCUUUGAAACUGAUAGAGGUCUAGGGGUGCAUCGUGGAGCAGGGCCCUCCUCUUUUUGACCACAGGACGGUGUACAAAGAUUGUGGGAAUAGCAUCUGGUCUCAGCCUACUCUUGAAUUUUUUGGUCAUGACAAAUUGCUUUGCCACAAUUUGUCUGCAUACUGACUUCAGUUUAGUUUCCACACUCACCUUUUUUUUUUGUCUACCCACUUACAGUACAUAUCACAUGGUGGUUAAAUGCACAGUUAUAGGUAACACUGAUGACUCCCUGCAAUGUCUCACCAUGAGUCUCAGCUCCCUGGGUUUUGCAAGGCUUUGCUUGUUCCUUAUUUCUAGUAAAACAUUGUCAAUGUAAAAAAGUGCAAAUAAAUUUAAGUAUAAUUACCUAACAAUUUUUUGUUGUUGUAAUUUUUAUUUGUAUUUAGAUUGCUCCUGCUGACUUGAGCCAACCAUUAUUUUCUCCUCUCUAUGUCAGCUGGGAAGAUAUACAUUCGCACACCUUUCUCUGACUGAGUGGAGCAUCCCCAUGCAGCACAGUAAACCACGGUGGAGACUUUGCAAGGACAACAUGAAAGAAAGGACACAUACAAAAUGCUUGUCAUGCUAUUAAAUUUAUUAGAAAUGUAUUCAUGAAUUGCUGUAAAUAGUUAAUUGUAUAAUUGCAAUUUAAAAUAACUGUUUUCUAUUUUAAAAUGGAAUAUACUCCUGUGAUGCCAACCUGAA